rnacentral:lncRNA from 1 species
GUCGAGUUGCGGGUGAGGGUGGAUGUGGUGCGCCACAAAUCAGGAUUGAAGACGUAUAGCAUCUCAACAAAAGAUAGAAGAUGGCUGUGUUGAGGAAAGGUGACUGUUUUCAUUCCUUUGAUGAGCUAGAUGCCCAUAUCCGUGAAUUGGAGGCCGAGACGAAUGUGAAGUUUUUGUGUGACGAAUGUGAAGUCGAGCUCUGUCACUCUUGGUAAAUUUCUUCAGACAAAUCCUGGGCACUUCAUUUAAAAGCUGAUCGCUGACCGUGCUGACAAGGAGGCGCUUUUGCAGCAGAAAAAGUACCGUCUCAUUAAAUUUUCAUGCACUCAUGGUGGGCGCCAGUACGAAAGCAAAGCCGGUGAUCGUCGUGUCCGAAACACGAGAACCGAAAAAGUCGGCUGUCCCGUAAGCAUCCUAGUGUUUCUGGAAAAGUCAUUGCGUUUAGAGAUUAGGGACAUCUCACUGGAGCAUUCCCACCCGGUGUCGAAGGCAAGCUUUCUGCUGCAGCCAGAAAAUCGUCGCCUGCCUGCGUCCUAAAGGCAGCGUCACCACAGUCGUGGGAUCAGCAAGGAAAUAAGAACGAUGAGAGCAGCAGACGGAGCCGCUCGCUGACAACACACCGGCGACGCCGGCAGUCCACCUGUCCAGACCCGUCUUCCCAUCGACCGCGACCCGCUGUGCCUGACGCCGCCGGACCAUCACCUUCGCCUUCGCCGGCGCUGACCCACCCCGUGCCUCUUCUUGGUCGCA